rfam:Oryza glumipatula chromosome 2, whole genome shotgun sequence.
CAUCCUUGCAGUUGUGGGUUUCUGUGUAUAGCGUUUAACCGUCCGUCUUAUUUGAAAUUUUUAUAAUUAAUAUUUUUAUUGUUAUUAGACGAUAAAAAUACUUUAUGUGUUUUUCAAAUAAGACGUACUGUCAAAUAUUGGACACGGGAACCCACAACUACACUUAAA